GUGGGGAAUAUUGGACAAUGGGCGAAAGCCUGAUCCAGCAAUGCCGCGUGAGUGAAGAAGGCCUUCGGGUUGUAAAGCUCUUUUACCCGGGAAGAUAAUGACUGUACCGGGAGAAUAAGCCCCGGCUAACUCCGUGCCAGCAGCCGCGGUAAUACGGAGGGGGCUAGCGUUGUUCGGAACUACUGGGCGUAAAGCGCACGUAGGCGGUCUUUUAAGUCAGAGGUGAAAGCCCGGGGCUCAACUCCGGAAUUGCCUUUGAAACUGGAAGACUUGAACACGGGAGAGGUGAGUGGAAUUCCGAGUGUAGAGGUGAAAUUCGUAGAUAUUCGGAGGAACACCAGUGGCGAAGGCGGCUCACUGGACCGUUGUUGACGCUGAGGUGCGAAAGCGUGGGGAGCAAACAGGAUUAGAAACCCCUGUAGUCC
rnacentral:rRNA from 1 species